rnacentral:lncRNA from 1 species
GUGGUUUUUGUUUUUUUUUAGUAACUUUCAACACAAAUUGUGCUUUCUCCCACAGAUAUUUGACAUUUAACAAGCAAGAAUUGUUAUUUAUUUUAAUUAGUUUUUACUACGUGUGCCUGCUUCCCCCAGGAAUAAAACUAACUGAAGUCAGUACCCCCCCCCCCCCCCAUGUUUAUUUAAAUGGAGCAUUACGAUGAGCCUCCAGUCAGCUCUGUCGUGUUCAAACAAAUGUUCUGAAUUACUGUUUUUCACCUGAUUUCACAAUCAGCUCUUUGCAACCCACUACACUGUCACUAGCAAUCUGACUGAAGGCAAAAAAUUUCUUUAAUGUCUAAAUCGGUUUAUUCUGGAUAAUCUCAACACCUUUCAGCAGCAGUAGUAUUUAAAUACAGCUGAAGAAGAACAAAAUAGCGUGUCUGAAUUUUACAAAAGCUUUGUGUAUCUGUUAUUUUCUUUCUUCCUGGAAUCUUAUAAGUACUAUGUGUGGCAUUUGCACUUUUUUUUUGCCAUGUCUUGCUUAAAAUUUUGCCUUCUCGAGUGUAAAGGUUAGCAUACUUUAAGACUGAUAGUCUUUGACAUAGGAAAGUGAUGGUGUUUAAAAAGUUACAAAACUAUACAUAAACACUGAGUUUAAAAUCUUGGGUCAAGGAAGCUUAGUAAUGUAUCUAUCAAGUACACCUCUAUUGUCCUGAUGCUGUUGAUAGAGAGUAUAAAUCCAUGUCUUUUGGAAUAUAAUAGGAAUGAAAUGACCAUGGAAAGCAUCCUUACUUGCAGCUUGAAGUUCAUUUCCAGCCACCACUUCAUAUAUACUCUUUCUUUCCUUUUCUAUGAUCCCCUCCUUCUUCCCAGUUUUCAAAGAAAGGAAUAUCACAGGUUGUGGAUGAAUUGCCUGGAGGCAUUCAAGGCCAGGCUGGAUGUGGCUCUGGGCAGCCUGGUCUGGUGUUUGGUGACCCUGCCCAUGGCAGAGGGGUUGAAACUAGAUGAUCAUUGUGGUCCUUUUCAACCCAGGCCAUUCUAUGAUCAGGGAGAUGGGAUUAGGGAAGACAAGUUGCCUAUGUCCAUUCUUCAUCCAAUUAUUUUCAAUUAUUUUUUUAAUCCUUUUUUCUACAAAAGUGGAAACCUUUACCAGAGCACUAUCUAGGCAAAAUCUUCCCAUGUGUAUAUAUGUUGGGAUAAAAUGCAGUGUUUCAACUGUGUUUUUUUCUACGAGCACGCUAAAUAAAGAUGAAUAAAGAUUCAUAGCAUCUCUGUUUAAGUAUUAGUGCUUUGAAUACCUGGUAGAUUUAAAGCUGAAUAAAUAAAAAAUUAAGAAGUCCUUAUAUUUUCCAGCUGUUAGUUAUGUCUUGUGAUCCGGCUUGGUAUGCGAGCUGUUCACCAGCAGAGGGCAUUGUGCACCUCGGGGAAACGCAGAUUGCAAAAGCAGUCGCAAGAGAAGGGAAAAAUUCUGACCUUCUGAAGGCAUUGCAAAUUUUAGGAAGUUAAGCAGAAGCUUAAUACAAACUGAAAUUUCCAAUCACAGGAUCUGACGUAUUUCCCAAUGUCAUCUCUCAUCUCUGUAGCUCCUGCACUAGGAAAAACAGUAGACUCAGAGCAUGGAGCCCAUAUAAGUUUCAAGAGGUUACAUGAGGACUACAGAAGGCUAAUAGCAUGAUAACAGCUGCUAGCACGGGGAUGUAAGCAAUGCAAACAUCAGAUUCAUGCAGUUUGGCUAGCUUGUUGCCAAGGAUGUCAGACUCCUGAGUGAUGGAGAAAGCUUUGCCACAAUUGACACUGUCUCCAGCUUCCAAAGGAGAUGCUCCACCCCUUUGAUCAUCUUUGUGGCCCUCCUCCGGACCCAUUCCAACAGCUCCAUGCCCUUUCUGUGUUGGAGGGCCCUGAUCUGGAUGCAUUGUUCAAGAUGGACCUCACAAGUGCAGAG